UCUGUUUCACUAUUUAGUGGAACAUAUUGGAAAUCAAAUCUCCUAGGCAUUAUAUGUUGAAUCUCAGAUUCUUCUUUUUCAAUGUCUACUACAUUGUUUCCGUCGCUUUUUCUUCUCUCAUCACUCAUAUCGCUCGAACCUUCAGAAGAUCUAUUUAAUCUAGCUAUUUUCUGUAUUUCCUUUAGCAUUUCUGAAAACCCUAAUCUUAAACUAUCUUUUAUUUUCAGUUCAAUCUUUUCCUCUAGAUCCGAUCGAUAUUCUGUGUUGGAUUCUCUUAUCACGUUCUUAAUCAUAUUGGCAUAUUCCCUAGAAUUUUUCUCCGCUGGCGGAUGAGUUUUCGGAAUCAAUGGAGGUGGAAUAGAAAAAUUUUGGAAUUGCUGAGGAUUGGUGGUUUUUGGAAUUGCUCCCUUAGAUGUUGUUGUGGCUGUUUCGUUAUUCUGAGGUUUACUAUUUAAAGGCUUUUUAGCUGAAUGACCAACAAACAUCUUGAUCAUCAAUUCUACACAAAAACUAAACUCAAAAUUCUCAAAUCAAAUACUCAAUUAUGUAGAUUUAGGUUCAGUUAAAAAAAAUUAAAUUUUUAUAUUUGCAAUUGUGUGGUUAACAAAAAAAAUUAAAAUAUUUUGUACAUACAAUUAACACAAUAAACAAAAGAUUUACAUUAUGGAUUUCA